GGGGCGGGGGCAGCGCGCUCUGCGCUGCUGCCGCUCCUCGGCGGGCAGCGCCGCAGCCCCGCGGGCGGCCGACGGUCACCCCCGCGCACCCCGUCAGCACACCUACAGCCCCCGCUGGCACCGGCCCGGGCAUCCCCGUCUUGCCCCGCCGCCGCGAUGAGGAGGCGCACCGCCUGGGGAGCCGCGCCGUGCGCCCGGCUCCGGCUCGGCGCUGGACAAGGUCUCUUCCAUGGACAUUGAACGCCCAGCUACCUGUGCCUAUUGCCUGUGAUGGAAGAACUUGAUGUUAAUGUGAGUUCAAGUGAGGGCUUCGGCAUAGCAGAGAAGAUUGUGCUGCUCACCUUCAUAUCAGCGGUUAUUCUGAUGGCCAUACUGGGGAACCUGCUGGUGAUGGUGGCGGUGUGCCGGGACAGGCAACUCAGGAAAAUCAAGACCAAUUAUUUCAUUGUUUCCCUUGCCUUUGCGGACCUGCUGGUUUCAGUGCUGGUGAUGCCGUUUGGAGCCAUCGAGCUAGUUCAGGACAACUGGAUCUAUGGAGAGAUGUUCUGCCUUGUUCGGACAUCUCUCGAUGUCCUUCUCACCACAGCAUCAAUCCUGCACCUGUGCUGUAUCUCGCUGGACAGGUACUAUGCUAUUUGCUGCCAGCCACUGGUUUACAGGAACAAGAUGACUCCAUUGCGCAUUGCUGUAAUGCUUGGAGGCUGCUGGGUAAUCCCAACAUUUAUUUCUUUCCUCCCAAUCAUGCAAGGCUGGAAUAGCAUUGGCAUCAUUGAUCUGAUCCAGCAAAGGCAGUUCAACAAGGCUUCCAACUCCACCUACUGCAUAUUCAUGGUCAACAAGCCAUACGCCAUUACCUGCUCUGUGGUGGCCUUCUACAUUCCCUUCCUCCUGAUGGUGCUGGCCUACUACCGCAUCUACAUCACCGCCAGGGAGCAUGCCCACCAGAUCCGGGUGCUGCAGCGCGCGGGGACCCCCGCUGACGGUCGGCAGCACCCCCCGGAUCAGCACAGCACGCACCGCAUGAAGACUGAGACCAAAGCUGCCAAGACCCUGUGCAUCAUCAUGGGGUGCUUCUGCCUGUGCUGGGCCCCCUUCUUUGUCACAAACAUCGUGGACCCUUUCAUAAACUACACGGUGCCGGGGAAGCUGUGGACAGCUUUUCUGUGGCUGGGCUACAUCAAUUCAGGGUUGAACCCCUUCCUCUACGCCUUCCUGAACAAGUCUUUCAGACGUGCCUUCCUCAUCAUCCUGUGCUGUGGUGAUGAGCGAUACCGAAGGCCUUCUAUCUUGGGGCAGACGGUCCCCUGUUCCACCACCACAAUAAACGGAUCAACUCACGUGCUAAGGGUAAACAGCUGGAGGUGUUGAUCUAACUGCAGAGUCUUCAGGCAAACUGUGCCACGAGAGACGCUGGGACACCCUAAUGACUUCUCUUUAGCUUAAUGCAUCUUUGUAACAAACGGCACCGCCUGCUAAAUUGCUGAACUUGCACAACUGUUUUCUGACUCCUGCAGAAGAAGAAGAAAGGUACACUGUCUUACAUAACGGACAUCAUCAGGAACAGGAGAAGCUUCCCAUCCACAAUGACCCAGAAUCCCAAGAGUCCUGUUUCUAGUCACAGACCUAGAAGAGGAAUGGCUCAGCUGGAGGAACAGCUUCUUUUUAGAGUACCCAAGGGAUUCCCAGGCAGCAGGACUUUAUGAAACCCUAUUCAUCUGCAAUGUCACCAUGCCUCCUGCACUGCCAUUGUACAAACUCCCAGCCACAAGCACACAGAUCCAUGGGGACAAGGGAAGGCAACUGAGCAGAAGGGAUCUCUGCAUCCACAAGGCUGGUGGGACUACAUGACUGUGGCAUGGCCUUACUCCAGGUGGGAGAAUAUUUCUGUUGGUGUGAAGAAACACCACCAAUACCAACCACCCGGUACAGGGACUCCUGGUACUCCUUUCCAGGGGCGGUCUCUAUGAGCCACCUCUCUGUCCUCAGACAGCAAGAUCUGAAAGAGCUCUGGCCUGAAGCCCCAACCUUAUGUGAGACAUCACUUGCUUUGUCUGCCUGCCUGCGACCGGAUGCUGUCUGGAUAAAAAACAGCACUUCAUUUUCUUCGCCCAAACAGGAGGAAGUAUUUCCCUUUCGAUUAUCGUUACUGGUGAAAGGGAGCUGCUGAUUCACCCUGCCCUGCAGAGCUUUCUUUGUAAAUGCUUUAACUGUGCUUCCUGGUCAUGCUACCUGAUGGGAGAUUCACAGGGUGUACAUAGUGCCUGACAAGCUGCAGUGGGACCUACAGAGACAUUUCACAGCUAACAGCAGGUCCUAUUUGCUGGAAGGCAGAGGCCACCCUCUGCUAUUCAGAGGCCCAUGGUUUGGAAGUGACCCCCCCAGCCCCAACAAGCUGCCAGCGCUGCCCUCACCUGAGCAAACUGUGGGCAUUCUUAUCAAGAAGAAAGGUUGAUCAAGAGACAGAGACAGUCUGUGAUAGAUCACUAAGUGCCAUCCUGAAAAAUACACCAUCCAAGAAACUUUUCUAGCUGUGUCAGGAAGACAGACUCCUACUCAUGUUUUCCAUCUUUAUUUUUCUGUUUGUUUCUGUUCUCUUCCAGAUGAGGCAAGAAGUUUCAAAACUUUAAAAUAUCACCAUAUGCACAUCUGUUUGCUAAAAUCUCAGUCCCAAAGCUGCUUCCUGCAUGAAAAUGUUGCUAUGUUCCUUGUGAGCUACUUCCAGUUUUGCAUAUAAAUACUAGGCAAGGCUGUAGACUUCACAACUUUGGAAAAAUGAAUUUUAUGCAGUGGGAAAUAUGCAGGAUCAAGACUACAUGCCUCUAUCUUAUUUAGCUGAAGAUCUAACCCAGAGAUGCCACCCUGAGCCUAGAAGAUAAUAUUGUACUUUGUUAUAUUGUGCAGUCCUGUACAGACAUUUUUAAUGUAAAAAGAAAAGGUGACAUUAUUUAUUAUUAUUUUUUAUCAGGAAUGCGUGGGUUUUGUUCAUUAAAAGCUUCUAGACCUGGGAGCUUAACAUUAUAUAUAUUAUUUAGUAAUGUUUCUGUUGCUAUGUGACAGGUAUUUACUGUAAACAAACAAAUCCUGCCUUGAACACAAAUGUUGCUCAGUAGGAAAAAAAAAUGUGCAUGAUGAGAAUAACUGGCUGCUCCGCCGUGGUGUCAGACUUCUUCAAAAUACUUUUUCCACACUAAAUUGUCACCAAUACUUUCACAUCAUUUUCCUUUGGGAUUCAGAAGAACAGUGGGCAGAAAAGCCCUGGUUAGAGGAAGCCAGACACUCACUAACAUAGAAAAUCUCAGGCUCUUAGAAAAAGACUAUGGAUGUUUGUGGCCAUUUUGAUAGGGAGAGGAGAAGUUAUUAGAAAAGAGAUGCUGAGAACCAGUAGGUGCCACUUCCAGGGUCAUUGUUAGGAACAGUUCUGCGGUGACCCGUUUUCACCGGGCUGUGUUUCCAAAAGAACUGUGUCAGUUCAACCCUAUUGUUAACACUAAAACACCGAUGGGUGAAUAAGUAAGGCAGUCUUAAAAGUUUUGGAAAAAAAUGCUUCCAAGGCAGCUUCAGCACUACGGUCUGCACCUUGGUGGAACUGUUCACACAAGCUCUGUCUGGAUUUGGGUAUGCAACACUGCAGAACAGGUUGUCUUGGCUUCACCCCAAAUGCCAAAUUUCUUAAUCCUAGAGCAGCUUUUCUCUGUCCCCAUUAAAAGGCAUCGAAUUAUUGGUGGGAGGUUUCUCUGAACUAUAUGAAAUCAACUGCAUGGGGAUGCAAUAGCAAUGGUGGCCUUUGUUUCUGUUGUUGUCCCUGAAGCAUUGUUCUCUCCUAUAUUUUAGUGUGCUUUAGUAAUAUAUUCUUCUUAAUUUAAAAUUAACUUCUCAACACUAAGUUUUAUUCAUUGGCAAUGUUUAGAAGGCUCUGUCAACGGGAGCAGUAGCUCACUAGCCAGAAUGGUCAACAGCUCUAACUUUAAAUAAAUAAAUAAAAAUUCAAUUCUUAACACCAUAUUUGAAUAAAGUACCAAACACCACUGUCCAUGUUCUGUCACACCUCUGGCUAACAGCUGGUUGGACUCAGUAAACCUGUCAUGAGCCACACAGCAGCUCCUGCUUAAUAAGUCAAUGAUCUCAGCAAUGCUCCUGUGAGCCCAGAAAUGACUUUGUCCAUCAACAUUAACAGCAUUUCUGUAUUUCUACAGAAAAGAGGCGAAGAGGCUGUCUCAUGGAAAGACCCAGUACUUUAUGUCCUUCCUUUGCUAGAGGUACCUGCUCCUGCAGCCUCCAAGUUCAUUUUCCCAUUGGCCAUUCUGGCUAGUGGUUUCAGAGCCUCUGCCUGUGCUGAAUGAUGUGUAAUGCAUUGGCUGGUUCUAAAAAUAAAAAGGUCUUCUCUACAGAUUGCA